GGCUGCCCGCGCUGGAGGUGCGGCGGCGCAGCAGAGAGCGCUGGCGGCCCUGGGCGCGCAGGAGCGCAUCGUGCUUGUGCUUCAGCUCCAGCAGCUUGGUCCGCACCUCCUCGUCCCCGCACACGUCUGGGGAGAAGUGGGUGGUCACCGGUGCCCUCUCAGCCACCCUCUACAACCGGCGGAGGCGGCCCCAGCUCACCAAGAGGUGUCUCGUCCAUCAGAGACCUCCCGUUCAGGUCGGCCCCAUGCGCCACGAGCAGCUCCACCAGGUGCACCUGAGGGGCCAGCGAGCCCGGGCUGCUGAAGGCCUCAGAGGCAGGAGCCGCCGGCCCGGGCCCGGCUGCCCCCGCCCCCGGCGCUCACCUGGCCCCAGUAGGCAGCCGCGUGCAGCGGCUCCCAGCCGUCCUGGUCCUUGGCGCUCAGGCUGGCUCGGUGUUGAAGCAGCAGGGUGGCCGCCUCACUGAACCCGUUGGCGGCAGCGAUGUGGAGCUGCAGGCACACCGCCCGGCCCUGAGUCCCCGCCACGCCCCUCCAGCGGCCACCUCCCGACCUGCAACCCACGUGGCCCCAUCGUCACCAGCGUGGCCCCGUGGUCCCGGGGGGCGUCGAUGUCGGCCCCUGCCUGCAGCAGGCUUCGGAUGUCGUCCAGCAUGCGCAGCUCCGGCAAGGCCCGGGCUUCCUCGAUGCCAUCCUGGGUAAUGCCUGCAAGGCAGCAGGGCUCAGAGCUGGCACCCGGGCACCCCGGCAGGCAGGUGGGGCCGUACUCACCGCGGUCGGCCAUGGCUGUCUCAAGGCAGUCCAGCGUCCGCUCAUCCUCACACAGGUCGUAAGGCAUGUUCCCGUCAGUGUUGACGGCCAGGAGGUCAGCACCACUGCACGCAGAAUGGACAGGGGCUUUGGCCACAGAACGCUUCUCCCCCACGGAGGCCUCCAGUCCACCCGCUGCAGAGGCCCUCGGCCUAGGGCUGCUCUCCUGGACGGUGUGGGUUGAAUGUGGAGGAGGCCCAGGCCCCCGGUGCCCCUGGGACCAUCUGGCUGUGGACCUCAGCUCUGGAUCCUGUACUCACGCCAGGCAGGCCACCCCCCAGUCUCCACCCACGUCUGAGCUCCAGGUUCCUGACACCCAUCUGUCCCUGUCAACCUGCACAACGGGCCCACGUACCAGGGGGCACUGCUGGGACUCUAGAAGCCUUGGGGAGCAAAAGACAGAGGGAGGAGAGCCCAGAUGACAGAAGACAGCUGCAGAGAACGGGGCUCAGGCAGGAACAUGGCCCCAGGGAAAGACAGGGAGCUGAAGGGAGCCCAGAACACAAAGGUGGGCGCUCGCUGUGGAGAGGAGCAGGGAGGGGGUAGGGGCUGUCUGUGCACAUCCAUCCCUCCUACUCUGCGGCAUCUGUGUGUGAAGGGGAGAGACUGCCACCCGCCCACACACCCACCAUCAGCACCUGGACCACUCCGAGGACAGCCUGGGCCCCUGGCCGUCUGCUCUACUACAGGGGUCCCUAUGGGGGGAUUCCUGGAUGCCCCUUUCUGUUCACCAAGGCCUGUGUCCGAAGCAGCUCUGCCCUGCUCCGCCCUCCUUGUCAAAGGCCCCACCUCCGUCUUCACCACUGCUACCCCCAUCAUUCUGCCCAGAGUGGCAGUUCUCUGGGCAGACCCCAGGGAGGACCGGAGCUAGAGGUCAAGGCCUGCCCUCAAGGAGUUCCCAAACCCCUAAGAGUGCUCGGCAGGAGGGUGUGCCCAGGCCGACAGCCUGCCGGGCAGACAACCACACUGCCCUGGGCACACGCUUGUCCCCUUGGCGUCAGUGUCUGCAGCCUCUGCCCAGGCCCUGAUCUCCACCAGCAUGAAGUCAGGGUAGGCAAGGGUGAGAGGGAACACAAGAGGCCAAGGGCCAAGUGUGCUUCCUGUGGAGGGGACAACAGGCUCGUGUCUCAGGAAGAACUACUAUCUGCGAGGAAGGCCCUGCCCGCUGGCCUGGCUACGGCCCCUCCCCAGCUCUGGCCACACCAGCGGGGCCCUACCGGGCAAUGAGCAGCUCCACCAGGUGCAGGUGGCCACAGGUGGCCGCGGCGUGCAGGGGUGUCCAGCUUUCGCUGUCACGGGCGUUGACCUCGGCCCCGGCGUCCAGCAGCUGCCGUACCACGUCCCGGAAGUCAUCGAUGCAGCUCUACGAACCACAGAGCCUGAGGCCAGCGCCCCGGCCAGCGCCCCCUCCUCUCCCACCCCACCCUCGGCGUGGCUGACCUGGUGCAGCGCCGUCAGGCCAUCCUCGUUGGCCAGGUCAGGGCUGACCCCGCUCUCGAGGAACUGGCGGACUGUGAGAAGGGGGCGGGAAGCGUGGUCAGGACGCAGGGCUAGGGGUCCUGCCAGGCCAACACUGUUCAGCCCGGGCGCCAGGUACCUGGGCGGACUGCUGUGCCGCAGCCGGGAGCAGAGAGUGGUGAGGAAGACAGAGGUGUGGGUGGCAAGAGGGACACCCGAGUCCAGGCUGAGGGCUCAAGAGUCGGGGCUCUGGGUAUCUGUCGGCCCCCAGGUGGGCAUACACAGCAGCCCUCCGCCCCCAGCACCUAGCAGGACCCACCCCUCCUGAAUCAGGGCACUCCCAGCCCUCAGGCUCCUGUGUGAGCGCAGGCCCCCUGCCCAGCUGCAGCCUGCAGUGUGGGCCCCAGGCAUCCAGGCCCACCCCCUCCAAGGUCUCCCUCAGCAGAGCUGAUCCCUGUCCUCACUCUUCAGUGGUCCCAUCUGGGGCCUAGCCUGUCACCAAGGUCAUCCCAGACCUCCUUACUGGCCUGGCCCUCCCAGAUAUGCUCCAUGGGCAGCAGGGUGAUGCACCCCACUUCCCACAGUUCCCUGAGCCUGGGCCAGCGGCACACCCACCACGCCCUCCUCUACCGCCCCUGCCUUGAGGCACUGCCUGCCUCUCCUUGCCCUCUGCACCCCAGCCUCUGCCCUGGAGGACGGCAGGACGAGCCUUCAGGAGCCCCUCAGGGACAGCGGAGGGGCCAUGAGCACACAGGGUGCAGGGGAGGAACGAGGAGCCUGUCACUGCCCAGGGCGGUCCUGAUGGGGAGGAAGAAGUCAAAGAUGGGCAGAGGCAGGUGUCGAGAGGGCUGGCCUGCGGGGACCCCUGACCCCGCACUCUAACCUGCUGAGGUGGGCGUGGCCGCCCUCCUUUACACAGGUGGAGACAGGGCCCAAGCAGGUGGUGGCCAGGUCUCUCCUGGUCAUCGCCCAGCACCCUGGCCAGAGGCACCGAAGAGGAUGGGCCACUCCCAGCCCACCUGAGCCAAGCCCUGGGCACUGCCCCGAGCUCCUGUGGGCUCCCCGAUGCCCCUGCCCAAUCCCAUCAGCCUCACCCCUGCAGCAGCACCCCAGUGUGCUGCGCCAUCACGGGUGAGCCUCAAGUGGCCGACCACUGAGAGCAAGCGCCCGAGGACACCAGGCCAGCCCCGGGGCCUCCGCAGGACAGCACUGUGCCCUCCGCAGCUCUCUCCAGGGCUGAGGUGGAGGACAGGGUCUGCCCUUGGGCUCAGCCAUGCUCACCUUCCUCCAGGUCAUUUCGGGCAGCAGCCUCCAGGAGGGCAACGCUGGGAGGGAAAAGGACCCGCUUCUGUGGCCGGCCGCUGGCUGCCUCC
rnacentral:lncRNA from 1 species